ensembl:lncRNA LINC00844 long intergenic non-protein coding RNA 844
AGAGACAAAGGAAACACAGAGACAUAGACAUGGAUCUGGGAAAUACACCUUUUGCUACUCGUUCAGUUUUAGCAAGGAGGUUUCUUGCAUGGCUAAGCAAAACUUAAACUUCCUCUGAGAAUUACAGGAAUUACAGGACCUGACAAAGCUAUGAAGAUUAAACCCUGACUAGCCUGCUGAAGGGACAGAGACCACAGGCACAGAGCUGAGGUGUGCCAGCUGAGGCCAUCUGAAACAUGGGAGAGAGAGAUGGCUAUGGUCAAAGAAAUGCUCAGCCAGGCCUGACCAAGAUCAACAGAACCCACCAGCUAACUGUGAAUACCUAUAGGAAGAAAAUCUGAACCAGAAACAGUAUGGCAGAAUUGGGAUCUGACUCACAGAGGGAAGAACUUAUAAUUCUUCACAGGUCACAUAGAAGCAUGAGAAUUUGGGUUCAAGCAAGUAAAUUCUAAAUCAGAAUCCAUACAUAAAGUGUUUGCAAUGUCCAGUUAUAUCUCCAUGAUAUUUUCUUUGUGGAAGUUGAUUGUUCUUCCUUACAAUAAAUUGCUUGAAUUGUCUGUCUAUUCAUUUAGCUAUUUCUUUUCUUGUCUUUGCGAUAUUUUUUUUUGUAAGUAAAAAAUUUUCAGACUAAAUAA